ensembl:lncRNA
UAGGGAUGUGAGACGGGCGUGUGCUGGUUAUACUGAAUGUAGGGAUGUGAGACGGGCGUGUGACGGUUAUACUGAACGUCAGGAUGUGAGACAGGUGUGUGACGGUUAUAUUGAACGUCGGGAUGUGAGACGGGUGUGUGCUGGUUAUAUUGAACGUCGGGAUGUGAGACGGGCGUGUGAUGGUUAUACUGAAUGUAGGGAUGUGAGACGGGUGUGUGACGGUUAUACUGAAUGUCGGGAUGUGAGACGGGCGUGUGACGGUUAUACUGAAUGUAGGGAUGUGAGACGGGCGUGUGAUGGUUAUACUGAAUGUAGGGAUGUGAGACAGGUGUGUGAUCAUCAUUAUACUGAAUGUAGGGAUGUGAGACGGGUGUGUGACGGUUCUAUUGAACGUCGGGAUGUGAGACAGGUGUGUGCUGGUUAUAUUGAACGUCGGGAUGUGAGACGGGUGUGUGCUGGUUAUAUUGAACGUCGGGAUGUGAGACGGGUGUGUGCUGGUUAUAUCAUUAUAUUAGUGUUUGUGUGGGAGUGUGGUAUAGUAUCUCAGUAGCGUUGGGUCUUCACGGUGAUGUUACAGCUGGUGUGAGGUUGAAGUUACAGUUCCUCCUGAAGCUCCUUCUGAAAGAGAAGUGUGUUGUGAAACUGAUGUGAGACACAUUUGGGAAUGUUGAAAUCCGCUCCUGUGUGUCAAUGUCCUUCAGUUGUUCUCUAAACGAAGGAUGAAAGCCCC